CUAGGAGAAAAGCACAACCUCGUCAUCUGAAAGAGUUCACUUCCCUGCCAAUCACAGCAACAGGCGGAUAAUUCUACGUCGACUGGUAGCAUCCCUCGACCUUUGGCCUCGGAGGCCCCGCCGGGCCCUAGAAACACCGUCAGACCACCUUCAGCGGGGCCCAUCUGGAGCGGACCUUCUCCCUGGACCAGGACCAGGACCCGGACUGGGGUGAAGGAAGGUCUUUCCUCGCUCAGAGCCAAAGAUUCAGGAAUGCAAUGCCCUCUCGUUACGUUUGUGUUUACAAUUAAGCGUAACAAAAAAUACUGCAUUGGCCGAAGCAUCUGCUUGAUGGUACCACGUGAUCCCGAACUGUGAAGGCAAGAAAACUACAUCUGCGCCAAAGUCUUGUCCUGAACAUCGGCAGUCCUCCCUCAUACCCUCACACAGACACUACCAUGUGGAGCUCCUGGCCCCAAAUAUCCCAACCCCUACUGCUUCUGUGUUUCUACCGGGCCCUGUCUCCGGGUCUAACAGAGUCCACCCAGCUGUCCCGGACUGGACUCUGGACGCACAUUGUAUCACGACGUCGCCGAGGAACGGGUCGGGAACCUGGAGCUUACGGGACUGUUGUGCAGCAACCAAGGGCGUAACCACGCAUUCUUUGGGGGGGUCGUGUACCCACCAAUGUUGAGAAAAUACUAACCUGUCCCCCCCAAUAUACAGCCGGAUAAAAUGUAAAAUAUAUGUUCUCUUUUUAUGAACCCUGUCAAUGGAUCGGUCUCUUGUUAUGUCUUAUUUAUUUUCAAUUUAUUUCCGUUUGUUAAGUGUGGGAAUCCCCCCUCCUAAUUGUACACUUGUGCGAUUUAGUUUGAAACCACCUCGCGACUUUCUGCGUUGUCGUGGUUACCCAACACUCUUUCUUCAGUGAGAGCCAAGAAAGUAAAGUUGAGUAAUGGAGGAUUUGAGGUUACCUAAAAAGCUGAAGAAACUGGACCAACAGCCAAGCAUACGCAGUUUUUUUCAGACAGUAAGUAACUUGAUACCGAGCUUUGAGUAAGCAAAUAAAACGAGUAGCCUCGUAAAAGCAGAAUAUUAAAUAUAGCUCAUGAAGGUCAGUCGCUGUUCUUUUGAUAAAAUUACAUGGUUACGAUGCAGGCAGCACAGAGAGAGAAGGAGAGAGACAGGCAUGCUGAAAGCAGUGGCCAGACAGGGACAUGCUCUGGACAUGCAGGUGAUAAGCAACCAAGCACUUCCAUGUGACCUGGUGAUACCCGAGUGGGAUGACGUCUCAGAGGGGCUUCCUCUCUUUUUCUCCGAGGAAAACGAACACGGAUCGCCGCCGGUCGGAAGCCGGUGCGGCAGCGAGGUUCCUCCGGGGCGGGACUGCCCCUCUACCUGUGUCUGGUUUCAGACAACAAUGGUUACGGAGACACGCUGUCUGCUGGCACCGACAACGAACACCCGAAGCACCCCCUUGAGGUCCAUCAGAAGAAGAUUUCCAGGACAUAGGGUUCAGUAAACUCAGAUCUGGACGCUUCGGAGGCGAUGAUCGAUUAUCUUCUCUUUCACAACCUGGCCUGUUUUAACCGAAUUAUAAGGAAAAAAUAUUUAAUCUAUGUGUUUGGAUUUCACUGGGCUGUACAUUUACACAGUAACUAUUUGGAAAUAUUUAUAAAUAAAAUAUGUAGAGUAGCUUGUGUCUAAUUUUAAAAAACCUUUUUUUCCCGUGGUGGAGCGUGGGGCGCCGUGGCUUAGAUGGUUAAAGCGCCUGUCUAGUAAACAGGAGAUCCUGGGUUCGAAUCCCAGCGGGGCCUUUUACUGACAAGUCUAUUCCACCUAAAUAAAUUUACCUCACCUACACUAAAAGGGGACAAAAUAUUAUUACAAAUAUUUUCCGUUUACUUCAGAUUAUUAUCAAUAUAAUCUGAAGAUUAUUAUUAUCAACUGUGUAUUCUUCCUGCUUUUAUCUUUGUUGAGAGGAGGCUGUGGUUGAUCUCCAUCAGCCGAGAGAAAUAGACAGAUGUGGUGGAGAGAAAAUAGAGGAGACUAAAGAUACCAUGUUGUUUAUUAAUCCUAGACAGGAAAUUAAAUGCAUUUCAUAAUGGGCUCUCAUGUGUUAGCAUUGGUUUGUUCAAGUUUGUUUCAUUUAGUUUUUAUCUUCAUCUUUUUAGUGUGGAAAUGGUCACUUUCAGAGCAUUGUCUUUGUUUUGCAAAUAAGCAAUUUCAAUCCG